rnacentral:rRNA from 1 species
UACAGAGGGGGCAAGCGUUGUUCGGAAUUACUGGGCGUAAAGGGCGCGUAGGCGGCCUUCUAAGUCGAACGUGAAAUCCCCGGGCUCAACCCGGGAACUGCGUCCGAUACUGGAAGGCUUGAAUUCGGGAGAGGGAUGUGGAAUUCCAGGUGUAGCGGUGAAAUGCGUAGAUAUCUGGAGGAACACCGGUGGCGAAGGCGGCAUCCUGGACCGAGAUUGACGCUGAUGCGCGAAAGCCAGGGGAGCAAACGGG